AAGAUACUAGUAUAGAAGAAAAUACACUGCUUUGUCAAGGCAGAACGGUAGGUUAGACCCCUACGUAUCUUA
rnacentral:tRNA from 1 species